GGCUAUCUUCCUGCUGGGCCUCACCCGCAAAAAUGCUCCUUGCUGGGACCUCUCCAUGGCUGGGUAGAGGAAAAAGAUGAAAUCCAGAGGAAGCUGGACUAGUUGACCCCUGGAAACCCUUCCCACCUCUACAAUCCUAUGAUUUUAUGACUCCAUGAGGUCAUUUCAAGACACAUUGGGGGUCUGUGGCCAGUUGAAAUCCAUUGUGGUCAGUGUCCCAACUAAAACAAGCUGGUUAUCUAAAAUGAUGGAAUGCUUCCAUAUUGCCAAACUAACAGGGAGGAUAAGAGGCGAUAUGGUACAAAAAGUGAAUAAGGAGUGGGUUAUCUUUAAGGAAUACAUCAAAAUUUAUGUGGAAAAAGUAGAAUUUCUGACCGAUACUGAGUGAAUCCAGAAAAUGUUUAGAGCGAAAGGAGAGUAAAGUCAAGCUAGAAGAAGAGAUUAAAGAAAUAAUGAAAUGCGUUUAAGCUAGCUGGAAAAAUAAAGUAGCGUAACAAGAACGGCUGGAAGUCAAGUCACUUGGUGGGUGUCUGUAUGGGGUAGGUGUGUAGGUAUGUUGAUAUGUACAGUAUAGGUAGGUAUUAUAUAGAGUAAUGUAGGUAUGUUUUAUGUUAUGAAAAUUAGGUAGUGUGUUGUGUAUGUGUAAUGUGUAAAUGUAUAUGUAUGUGUUUUAUAUGUUAAUAAAAUUAAAAUUAAAAAAAUUAAAAAAGGGAAAAAAAGAAAUCCAUUGUGGUCACAGGCAGCAAUGUGGAAAAGAGCCGUCUCUAAAUCACCGUGAACAAAACAGACCUCUGCUCAAUUUCGCUUGCUAAAUAAAUGCUUGCUGAGAUAAAAGGGUUUUUCUUUCUUUUGCAGCAGUUCCAAAAUGUAUUCAGGCUUGGCGUUUGACCUCUAAAAGAAAGGGAGCGCUGGAGCUCCAGAACAGAGAAUGAAUGGAUUAAUUAAAUUUAAAAGGAUACAGUUUAAUCAGUCGAGUCCUGCGAGCCGCUUACUGCUGCCACUGCAGCCUUUGCCAGCUUGGAGUCUUCCAGACGUUUGCGACAAUGGCUGCUGUCAGCCAGCCCAGCGAUGCUGACUGAGGCUGAUGGGAUUUGUAGUCCAGAACAGCAGCAGCAAAACAAGAAGUGAUUUAGGGCUGGCCUUUCGGAACCCUUUUAUCUCCUCUGGGCCAUUACAGCCUGCCUCUUCAGUCAUAUAUACCAAAGGCAGGUGCUUAGAGUGACCCAUAAAGGCUUUUACGAGUAAGAGUGCCGCUGACAACAGCCCACAUCAAUCCAGCGUUUUAUCCAUCCCCGAACAACCGCUCUCUUGCGACACAAACAAUGUAGCAAUUUCGGUUGGGAAACAGCCUUUUUGUCCGCCUUUUAUUUAUAUGAACUACCCUAGAGUUUCAUCAGCCCCACCAGCUGCAUCCUUUGAUCCUGCAGAGCGUACAACUGCAGGCGGCGUCUCCUUCCUUAUGUUCCACUGCAAUCAAAAGAGCAUUGUGCUACAAAUGCCCAACAUCCUUUCUCUCCCCCAAAUCUCCAUUUCCCCUGUUUUACUUCUGGUGAACUCAAAAGCUUCAUCGCUGCUUCGUGGCUCCUCUGUCGGCC